rnacentral:rRNA from 1 species
UGGGGAAUAUUGGACAAUGGGCGCAAGCCUGAUCCAGCCAUGCCGCGUGAGUGAUGAAGGCCUUAGGGUUGUAAAGCUCUUUUGUCCGGGACGAUAAUGACGGUACCGGAAGAAUAAGCCCCGGCUAACUUCGUGCCAGCAGCCGCGGUAAUACGAAGGGGGCUAGCGUUGCUCGGAAUCACUGGGCGUAAAGGGCGCGUAGGCGGCCAUUCAAGUCGGGGGUGAAAGCCUGUGGCUCAACCACAGAAUUGCCUUCGAUACUGUUUGGCUUGAGUAUGGUAGAGGUUGGUGGAACUGCGAGUGUAGAGGUGAAAUUCGUAGAUAUUCGCAAGAACACCGGUGGCGAAGGCGGCCAACUGGACCAUUACUGACGCUGAGGCGCGAAAGCGUGGGGAGCAAACAGG